GUGGAUUUAAAUGUUUGUUUUAUGUCGUAAGUAGAAGAAUAAGGUAUUCAUUUAUGUGCCUUAGCCUCACAAUUAUAAGAAGGUUAUUAUCAUGUUUUAUAGAUGACUACAAGCAGGCCUUGAAAAAACUUAGGAAAACCAGGCAGCAGCAUCCCAAAUUACAUUUGAUCUAUAAUUAGAGACAGACCUAAAAUCAAUGCUGCACCUUCUCCCUAUCUUCUUCUCCAUGUAACUCCGGGCCCUGUCACAGAAGGUCACCUGACGUGUUCACGGCACCCACCGAAUCAUCACAGUGCCCACUACAGAGCCAUUGUUUAAGUUCACAGGCAAAAUCCACUGCAGCCACCUCCUAGUGGAUGUUAUGCUUGAACAGAAAGUGCACGAAGUAACAGAUGGCAUCUUGUGACCUUCUUAAUAACAGGCUUGGCUGCCAAUGUUCCCUUGUGUCCAGGCUCUGCAGGGAAUUUGGAAACUGUUGCCUUACACUUGAAUAUUUUCCGGCAAACACAGUUAACCAUUUAUUAGUUAGCUUCCUAAUUUAAAAUAGAGAAAGCAAAACUACACAAAACCAAGUCCCCACCACCUGGAAGGAACACUGCUAUUUCCUGAGUUGGGAGGCCCAUCCUGGGAUUCUUUGGCAUGCGCUCGUAGAAAUCAUGUGGCAUAACUGUCCUUUACAGUGUGGUAUGAAGAGCUCAAUUCCAGGCAAAGUGAGUGUCGUGCUGCCUAGAUUUAUUGAUGAUCAAUGUGAUAUUUUUCCCUUUUUGUAGUUCAAAAGAAAUGUAUGCACUUCUCACAGCAAAGCAUACAAAUGGGGCAGAAAACAAACAGAAUCCUGGCAUUAAAAGUUCCUUCUGCUGUGACAGUUCACACCCAGUGUGAAUGUGCAGAUCCUGUGAAUGGACCUGGAAGGUCUUGUGCCAGAAUGGAAGUGCUGAGAUCUGUCCCUGCCAGACAGUGGGUGUGGAGAGCGUGGUGGAGGAAAGCCAACCAACUAUGGACUGAAACCUCUACAAACUUCUGA
rnacentral:lncRNA from 1 species